CUUCACCUUGCGCGUCCUCGGCAUGUGCAUGGAAUGACUGAAAGGCGAGCGAGGGAUUUGAUUGCGACCCGCCCCCUUCACGUUUCUCAAUGACAUGGAACUAGGACAUGCUGAAGGGGCAUGAAGGCUGGAAGCAGGACCAAUCCCUGGAGAGCCAGACAGUGCUCAAGGGGAGGGGAUAGUAGGAAGGAAUGGAGUAUUUGUUUUGUUUUGUUUUGUUUUCUUUCCAAUGUCUAACAUAUACAUGUUGCUUCUAAACAAAAAGCAGUAAAACCUAUUGAGCCAAUUCUAAGCAAUCAGUAACGCAUUGUAAAUGUCAAGUGCAAGCUGGACCCUGUUGUUUGUUGUCACAGCACUUAAACUGAGCAACAUAUGUUGUCUGAGUUCACAGAAUUUAUUCAGCAUCAAAACAUCGGAAAACAAUUAUGUCUAAUGGACAUGUUAAAAGUGAGAGGCCUCAGUUAGAGGCUUUGAGUUUAUCGACUGUGGUGCCAGCAACACAAAGGGUUGCCAGGAUGAGUCCUCAUAUUAACAGCAUAAGCAUUCAUUGUAAAUUCAUACUGUUGGCAAGAAAAAUUAUAAUUUACUGAAACAAUCAAUGACAGAAAAUGACUACAAUUAGGUCCAUCAGUCUUGUUAUACACUCAGAUGGCAUUAUAUCGAAUUCAAUAUAAAUUAUACAUACAAUAAAACUGUUUCAAAUUUUGUGUAGAA